GUACACUCCUACGGGAGGCAGCAGUGGGGAAUUUUGGACAAUGGGCGAAAGCCUGAUCCAGCAAUGCCGCGUGAGUGAAGAAGGCCUUCGGGUUGUAAAGCUCUUUUGUCAGGGAAGAAACGGUGAAAGCUAAUAUCUUUUGCUAAUGACGGUACCUGAAGAAUAAGCACCGGCUAACUACGUGCCAGCAGCCGCGGUAAUACGUAGGGUGCAAGAGUUAAUCGGAAUUACUGGGCGUAAAGCGUGCGCAGGCGGUUUUGUAAGUCUGAUGUGAAAUCCCCGGGCUCAACCUGGGAAUUGCAUGGGAGACUGCAAGGCUAGAAUCUGGCAGAGGGGGGUAGAAUUCCACGUGUAGCAGUGAAAUGCGUAGAUAUGUGGAGGAACACCGAUGGCGAAGGCAGCCCCCUGGGUCAAGAUUGACGCUCAUGCACGAAAGCGUGGGGAGCAAACAGGAUUAGAAACCCCUGUAGUCCCAU
rnacentral:rRNA from 1 species